rnacentral:rRNA from 1 species
AUUGAACGCUGGCGGCAUGCCUUACACAUGCAAGUCGAACGGUAACAGGUCUUCGGAUGCUGACGAGUGGCGAACGGGUGAGUAAUACAUCGGAACGUGCCUAGUAGUGGGGGAUAACUACUCGAAAGAGUGGCUAAUACCGCAUGAGAUCUACGGAUGAAAGCAGGGGAUCGCAAGACCUUGUGCUACUAGAGCGGCCGAUGGCAGAUUAGGUAGUUGGUGGGAUAAAAGCUUACCAAGCCGACGAUCUGUAGCUGGUCUGAGAGGACGAUAAGCCACACUGGGACGGAGACACGGCCCAGACUCCGACGGGAGGCAGCAGUGGGGAAUGUUGGACAAUGGGCGCAAGCCUGAUCCAGCAAUGCCGCGUGCAGGAUGAAGGCCUUCGGGUUGUAAACUGCUUUUGUACGGAACGAAAAGCCCUGGGUUAAUACCCUGGGGUCAUGACGGUACCGUAAGAAUAAGCACCGGCUAACUACGUGCCAGCCGCCGCCGUAAAAC